CUCCAAGAACGGUGUUAA
rnacentral:siRNA from 1 species